rnacentral:lncRNA from 1 species
UGCAGCUGUUUGCACCUCCUCCUCCGGAGCGAGAGGGGAUCCAGGGUGAGGAUGUCAGCACGCUGGCCACUUCUGUGGACGCGGCCGUUCGGGUGGACACACGCUGUGGUCUGACCGUGUCCUCUGUGUCCUGAAGCUGCAGCAAAUAUGCGGAACGUGAAAAGAACUUAGAGAAUUCUACCAGAAACGGCACUGGGAAGUCCAUUUACAGGGGACAGAGACGGCAGGAAGGAGGUGACACGGAAGCGAACAUAGGGGACAAGUAGCAAUUUAAGGACAAGAUGCGCGUGGAUGGGGGCUCAGGACAAGGGGGGACAGGCGGACACCCGAACACCUGCGAAGACGGGCUCCGUGAGAGCAGCUCCU